rnacentral:misc_RNA from 1 species
GGAAGGAUCAUUCACGCAAUAUCCAAAAACCGUUAAAACGGCUCUGCUCGCGGGCACUGCCAACAACAAUAGUUUUUCCGCUUUACAGUGGUCUUGUAAUAGAUAAAACAUCUCAAGUUCAUGACGAUUGAUGCCUUGGUUCGGGAAUCGAUGAAGGACGCAGCAAAGUGCGAUAAGCACUGUGAAUUGCAGAAUUCAGCGAAUCAGUAGAUCUCUUAACGCAAAUGGUGUCAGGUAGACUUGUCUACUUGACAGAUAUACUUCAGUAUUGCACUAAUGCACUCAACAUGCAUUUUUGUACUCUCCUGUUAGAGUACGUGAGGUUCGCUAAAUAAAAAUGGCGAAUGGGAAGAGCUCGACGCUUUUAACUCGUUACGAACGUCAGAGCAUAUAUUAAUCAAUCUGAAGUAUGUCAGAAUACCCGCUGAACUUAAGCAUAUCAUUAAGCGGAGGAAAAGAAACUAACAAGGAUUCCCCUAGUAAUGGCGAAUGAACAGGGAAGAGCUCAAUGGUGAAUCAGGGGUUUCCUCUGACAUGUACCAUAUGGAUUAGCCAGUGCACGACGAAGGUUAACUCCGCUGGAAUGCGGGACCAAAGAGGGUGAUAGUCCCGUACAUACUUCUGAGUUGCACGUACGGAUAAUCCAGCAGAGAGUCGCGCUCUUUGGAAGUAGAGCGCUAAAGGGUGGUAAAUUUCAUCCAAAGCUAAAUAUUAUCCCGAAACCAAUAGCGAACAAGUACCAUGAGGGAAAGGUGAAAAGAACUUUGGAAAGAGGGUUAAAAGUGCCUGAGAUCGUCAUGGAGGAAGCGGAUGCCGUCCGGUUUCUUGACCUGGUAGUGCGGAAUAACCUGAGGCCAAUAAGCAUUUGCUUAGCACCUGCUUAGAAACCAUAUGGUUAUGAAGCAUGUUUCCAGGCUGAGUAUGUGAUGCCAACUAGAUGCUAAGUUGCCACAAGGGUAGACGGGCACUUGUGUUCUGAAGCCUUUGAUGCUUAGUGCUGGUUGAAAAGAAGGUGGCCAACCAACUCUGGGCUGAGGAGAUGAUUGACGUGCAAAUUGUCUCUCUGAGACCAUGCGUGCGUUAUUUCGCUUCUUGGUCUAGUGCGCUGGUUACCAUUGUAUCACCUAAGGAUGUUAUUCGACCCGUCUUGAAACACGGACCAAGGAGUCUAACGUGCGUGCGAGUGUGCGAGAUUUAAUCUUUCACGCGUAACGAAAGUGAUAUCUUCUUGAAUGCUUGCAUUUGUAGGAGGUACCAACCCUGAUCCACGGAGAAGGGCUUGAGUAUGAGCACGUACGUUAGGACCCGAAAGAUGGUGAACUAUGCCUGAGUAGGGUGAAGCCAGGGGAAACUCUGGUGGAAGCUCGUAGCGAUACUGACGUGCAAAUCGUUCGUCAAACUUGGGUAUAGGGGCGAAAGACCAAUCGAACCAUCUAGUAGCUGGUUCCCUC